GGGGAAUAUUGCACAAUGGGCGCAAGCCUGAUGCAGCAACGCCGCGUGAGGGACGACGGCCUUCGGGUUGUAAACCUCUUUUAGUAGGGAAGAAGCGAAAGUGACGGUACCUGCAGAAAAAGCACCGGCUAACUACGUGCCAGCAGCCGCGGUAAUACGUAGGGCGCAAGCGUUGUCCGGAAUUAUUGGGCGUAAAGAGCUCGUAGGCGGUUUGUCGCGUCUGCUGUGAAAACCCGAGGCUCAACCGCGGGCCGGCAGUGGGUACGGGCAGACUAGAGUGCGGUAGGGGAGAUUGGAACUCCUGGUGUAGCGGUGGAAUGCGCAGAUAUCAGGAAGAACACCGAUGGCGAAGGCAGAUCUCUGGGCCGUAACUGACGCUGAGGAGCGAAAGCAUGGGGAGCGAAC
rnacentral:rRNA from 1 species